CCAUCGGUGGUUCAGUGGUAGAAUGCUCGCCUGCCUCGCCUGGUUCGAUUCCCGGCCGAUGCA
rnacentral:tRNA from 1 species